rnacentral:lncRNA from 1 species
CAAAAGACUGAGGAAAUGUGAGAGCAGUGUACAACAGGAGCCAGACUUCCUGUAUGACUCUGUGGCAGGCGGCUAGCAACCUGGAGAGUCUCCUCAUCAUGGUAUGUGAAUGAGAAAGAAGUGUCUUUGUGUCACUCCAUGAGAGGAAGACACCUUGGAAGAAGGAGAUCCCACCUGAAGCAGAUAGACAUUUGAAAAGGAAGAAAAUGACUACUGGCUGCUUUCUGAGGCCAGGUAUGGCCUCAGAGCAGCAUUCUUGUGGGGAUGCUGAGGCAACAGAGAGGCACUGUGAGUUCCAGACCACACUGAUCUAGAAGAAAACCAAGAAAUGAAAAAAGUAGGGGCAGUUCUUCUCUGGCCUAGCUCUCCUUCCACAAACCGACUGGUGCCUGGAUAUUCCUUUGACUCCAAAAGCAUCUUCGGAUGAACUUUGUGUCUCGUGACUCCAACCAACCGAAGCAGAUGGUCUCCUUCACUAGAAGUUGUUUCCACAGAAGCCAGGUUUAUCCAAUAUCUGGAAUUCUCUCUUUCCUGCCAAUGCCUAAAUAACCUCUGUGCUAUGUGACACUCUAGAUCCAUAGAUUGUGCUAUGAGUGUAUGGCACCCUAUAUUCACAGUCUGUGCUGAGUGACACUCUAGAUCCACAGGCUGUGCUAUGAGUGGCAGUGAACUCCCCAGGACAUUUCUGAUUUCUUUCUUUAUUCUUUUGUUUUCUUGAAAGAGGUCUUGAUAUGUAGCCCAAGCUGACCUUGAAUUUCCAUCUUCUGAGUCCAACUAUGAAGACAUCAAAUCCCUUUGUUAAUAACUCUUAUCCAUUACUGUGCAUUCAUGAUUAACAUUAAAGCCAGACUGAGAGCUUUAUCUCAAAAGACUUUGUGGGAAGAUUUUUACUGUUUCAAAAUACCUACCAGCCAUGUGCAAUGCCUGUAAUCCCACACUGACAAGGCAGAGGCAGGAGGCUUGUGAGACCCUGUUUUAAACAACAGCCACUACCAGAAAAAGAAAGAAAGCAAAAUAUGAAGGUAUCGUGCAGCUCUCAUUAAAUAUGUGCUGAUUAUUAAUCACUAAGAGCAGACGUGGACCUAGGAUGACUGACAUCUGAUAGUGCUAGAGGGAGGGGUCUCCCUGAGGUGGUACAGUGUCUGGGAUGUAUGGUCUGCUUCCCUUUCAUCAUAUUUCCAGUAAACUUUGGUAAAAUUCUCAGGCAGGUUUUCUUAGAAGUCCAAAGAAGCAGACCACUUCCUUUAUUUUAGGCUGCAUAUUUACAAGUGUACUUGUAAAUAUGAAGAAAUGAGAAAACAAGGUUGCAAAUGGCCAUUUAAAUGACUAGAACACACACUCUGUCUGUCUGUCUGUCUGUCUGUCUGUCUGUCUGUCUGUCUCUCUCUCUCACACACACACACUCCCUCAGAGUUUUGUGCAUAAUGUUUGACAAUAACAUCAAAAGUAGAGCUGUGCUGGUGUCAGUGGUGGCGCACGCCUUUAAUCCCAGCACUGGAAGGCAGAGGCAGGCGGAUCUCUGUGAGUUCAAGGCCAGCCUGGUCUACACACAGCAAAAGUUACAGGUUAGCCAGGACCGUUACACAGAGAAACCCUGUCUGGAAAAAAAAAAAGAUAGAGCUGCAUGAUAGCAAGCCAGGCCAAAUUUAUCCCGUUGUUGUCCCUCUCCUCUCCUCUCCUCUCCUCUCCUCUCCUCUC